CCGAAGUCGAUGUUUUCGCUAUUUAGAAAUUGGACUAUCAACCCGUUUGCGCUUGUCUUGGACAACUGGAUCUACACGUAUCUGACGCCACAGUGAAAAAAAAAUUACCACGAUUGUCAUCAAAGAGAGCCAAAUGAUCAGAAAGCAAUCCUCAGUUGGCUUCGAUCCCGUUUCUGGCAGCAAUUAGGCCGCCAGAUCGUCAAAUUGGAGUUGUAGUGGUUUCAUCUGUGGAGCAAAACAUCCAAAAUGGAUUAAUCACACAAAAGGCACUUGAGAGAGCAAAGGGGGCAUGCUGGGAGCCGAUCGGGAUGGAUAAGGACUCUGUUAUGCCACUGGCGCACAGUAUUUCACCAAGGUAUCUGCCGCACACGAGACGUGUGUCUUCUGGCAGGAUGGCCAAAGAAGAAGACAAAAGCUGCCCAGUAACACGAGGUUUUUAUAUGUAUGGGUCCAUGUUUGAAGUGGCUACCCCCCACCCCCGCAGUCUGAUCCUGGGCCGGAAUGGUAACUUUCCGUUCCUUAUCUGGUGUCGUUCAUCUCCACGGCAACGCCUGGGAUAGGAGGAUGACACCAGCCGGUUUUCUGCGUACAAAGAUCAAGGACAACCACCAGCUCCACAAUACAUCCUUGUCUGAUUAGCAA